UGCCCCGUGGCUUAGUUGGUUACGGCGUCCGACUGUUAUGCUCCCGUCGCUGUAUAAUUGACAUCGGAAGAUCGAGAGUUCAAGUCUCUCCGGGGCAG
rnacentral:tRNA from 1 species